AUGAACGCUAGCUACAGGCUUAACACAUGCAAGUCGAGGGGAAACGAUAGAGAAAGCUUGCUUUUUCUAGGCGUCGACCGGCGCACGGGUGAGUAACGCGUGAGCAACCUGCCCUUCAGAGGGGGAUAGUGUCUGGAAACGGACAGUAAUACCGCAUAAUGUACAUUGAUGGCAUCUUCGAUGUACCAAAGCUUUUGCGCUGGAGGAUGGGCUCGCGUCUGAUUAGAUAGUUGGUGGGGUAAUGGCCUACCAAGUCGACGAUCAGUAGCCGGACUGAGAGGUUGAACGGCCACAUUGGGACUGAGACACGGUCCAAACUCCUACGGGAGGCAGCAGUGAGGAAUAUUGGUCAAUGGACGAGAGUCUGAACCAGCCAAGUAGCGUGCAGGAAGACGGCCCUAUGGGUUGUAAACUGCUUUUAUAAGGGAAUAAAGUGAGUCUCGUGAGACUUUUUGCAUGUACCUUAUGAAUAAGGACCGGCUAAUUCCGUG
rnacentral:rRNA from 1 species